GGCGAUCCUUCAGCCUCAGCCUUCCAAGGAGUCGGAACUACAGGAUCACUCUGGCUGCUGUGCUGAGAAGAGACCUUAGGGAGACAAGGGCAGAAGGAGGGAGUCUGUUUCAAAGUGGAUCCCUUCUAGGAGAAAGACACUCUCCCUGAAGUCGAGAUGUCCCAGAAGGCUGCGCCUGAUUUAUCAAGUCACCCCCCAAAUGCCACAGAGUCUGGAGUUUUGGAGAGAGGGGAAGAAGCCCUGAACAAGGGAGCCAAGUCAGAUCUUGCUUCAGCACUGGGCACAGGCCAGCGAUGGGCACACACAGGCAGAGAGCCGCCCACCAUCUUUUUCACGGUGCCCAUAGACCCAUUCAGGAUGACGAUCAGGAAGUUGUCUCCAUGCCACUGCUUCUCAAACACAUGAAUAUUAACAUUUGAAGCCUAAACUGGCCAUGGCAAAUUUUCAUGGGCUUUACCUUAUUCAACAUUAGAGACUUAGUUGAAAGGAGACAUAUUCCCAUAGGAAUCAAUGAAGCCAUACUCAUUUUGAAUGAAAUAGAAUUGAAGUCAUCAAGAUAUAACUUCCCUGAACUGAACCUUGAACAAAAAAACCCAACGCUUACCCCAGGGCUAAACACAGGCCCUGAAGAUGAUAAGGAGAUUCAGCAUGUAUAGCAGAGAUGCUACCCAGGCCCGUCUCUGGUCUAAAGAGGGCUAGCUGGGAUACCAGUUUCAUCCUCAGUGGCAGCUUGGUACGGUGUGUGUAAAAUCACUGUCCACUGUGCCGAAGGGAACUGUCUGCCUGUGAUGAUGUGUCCUACAAGAAGAGGUGUCAAAG